CAAACCUCAAGCCUUGCUUGGUGAUGGGUCCCGCCCGCGUGGCGGGCCCGAAACUCGUGGGCGCCCCAGGCCGGACUCCAAGCGUAGCAAAACCCUCGCUUGGACGACCGGUCAGAGGCCGCCCCGGACCCCCUAUUUAUCAAU
rnacentral:misc_RNA from 1 species